CUUUUGACAAUGGAUCUCUUGGUUCUCGCAACUAUGAAGAACGCAGCAAAAUGCGAUAAGUAGUGUGAAUUGCAGAAUACGUGAAUCAUCGAAUCUUUGAACGCAUAUUGCACUUUUUUAGUUUACUAAAAAAGUAUGUCUGUUUGAGUAUCAGUAAAAUAUUCCCAUAAAAAUCAUUGUAUUUUUAUGGUUAUGAGUGUUUUACAAAGAUACAAGUUGUUUCACUUUAAAUUUUUUUAAUAUUGAAAUUUUUCUAAUUUUAAUAAUUAAAAUUGGAUAAAAUUUUCCCGUCAAAAGGAAUAACCUAAACAAUUUUAAACGAUUAAUUUUAGUAAAAUUUUCGAAAAAGGAAAAUUUAUUAAAAUAACUUGAUCUCAAAUAAGAUAAGAGUACCCGCUGAACUUAAGCAUAUCAAUAAGCGGAGGAAAAGAAACUAACAAGGAUUCCCUUAGUAACGGCGAGUGAAGCGGGAAGAGCUCAAAUUUGAAAUCUUCAAGGUUUUACUUUGACGAAUUGUAAUUUAAAGAAGUGUUUUCUGCUGAAGUUUUGGUAAAAGUUCUUUGGAAUAGGACAUCAUAGAGGGUGAGAAUCCCGUAUUUGACCAUUAUUUUCAGCUUUGUGAUACACUUUCAAAGAGUCGGAUUGUUUGGGAAUGCAGUCCAAAAUGGGUGGUAAAUUUCAUCUAAAGCUAAAUAUUGGUGAGAGACCGAUAGCGAACAAAUACCGUGAGGGAAAGAUGAAAAGAACUAUGAAAAGAGAGUUAAACAGUACGUGAAAUUGUCAAAAG
rnacentral:ncRNA from 1 species